rnacentral:rRNA from 1 species
GACGAACGCUGGCGGCGUGCUUAACACAUGCAAGUCGAACGGAAAGGCCCUGCUUGCAGGGUGCUCGAGUGGCGAACGGGUGAGUAACACGUGGGUGAUCUGCCCCUUACUUUGGGAUAAGCCUGGGAAACUGGGUCUAAUACUGGAUAGGACCAUGCUGUAGGUGGUGUGGUGGAAAGAUUAGUUUCGGUAAGGGAUGAGCUCGCGGCCUAUCAGCUUGUUGGUGGGGUAAUGGCCUACCAAGGCGUCGACGGGUAGCCGGCCUGAGAGGGUGGACGGCCACAUUGGGACUGAGAUACGGCCCAGACUCCUACGGGAGGCAGCAGUGGGGCAUAUUGCACAAUGGGCGCAAGCCUGAUGCAGCGACGCCGCGUGGGGGAUGACGGCCUUCGGGUUGUAAACUCCUUUCAGCCAUGACGAAGCCCUUGUGGUGACGGUAGUGGUAGAAGAAGCACCGGCUAACUACGUG